GCCGAAUUACCAUCUCUCCUCAAAAGCUCAAGGAGCGGCUCGCACUCUCUGACAUUGAUGCAUAUGCCACUUCUACCCAGUGGAUUCACGCAACUUUCUAUAGCAAACAAGUUUCAUAAUUCCAGUGUAGUCAAGAUCACCAAAUAUGACGUCUUGAACGCUAAUUACUGAUACCACAUUGAAUAUUGAGUAGGUGGAAUCCCCUGUUAUUUGAUCUGCUUCGCUUUAACAUUAAAAUCACGUGAAUUCACUCUUUUUCUCAUCUUGUCCUGUGCAAUUUUUCAAAAUAUUCCAAAUUAGAAAAAUCUUCGUUGGAAUAAUUAAAUCAAUAAUGACAAGAGUAGUAUCAAUUCCGUCUCCGCGAAAACAGGAUUAAGAGAUCUCGAAAUUGAAUGUUCAACGACCUUGCUGAUGAUGAUGGAAUUCGAACACGCACUCCAUCGAAUGGAGAAACUCAAUACCUUGACCCAAGACGUGAUGUCUUGUUUUGAAUUUCUAAAAAUUUAAAAAUUCUGACUCACUGACCCUGCGAGUGUAUCGACGUUACUGAGAGUAGUCCCACGAAACUGACGAUCACCAGUUGUAAAUGAUGAUCCCACAUGUUUCGUUUCUAGAAAAUGGAAAUAUAUAAUAAAGUACUACCUCCUUAAUAUGGAUAACGGGAAAAAAAAUGGAAAAAUGAGAGAAAUGUGGUAAUAUUUUUCCAUGAAUCACAAUCAUAUACUUGAAUUCACUAAUGAGAAAAUUAUGUUUGGUGUCUCAUCGUUGAAAAAAUUUCACGAAAUUCCUGCUGGAGACGUUAAUUUUUAUCAUUUUCAUCCUCUCAUGCGUGUCAAGAGCAAUUCAAAUUCAAGGACGAUCCAACCGCAGCGUUAUAAUUUCAAUUACUCACUCAGUUCGCAUCAAAAUUUACGGUAAUGAUUUUCGCGUGGUUUUUCCCUUUAUUACAAAAUCGGUAACAAGAGGCGCACUCAUCCGAUUCAUUUCCAGGCAGAAACCAAAAUUCUCAAUUAAAUCAGGAAUAAAAGUCACGAUUGACAGACAAACGCGUAAAAAAGAUGUCAGGCCUUUGACUUUGUCAAUAAUUUAUUGCAAAUUAUGUCUCUCAUUAUUCUCCCUUUAUUGAUUCCCUCUGAACACGAAUCAAUAAAAUCUAUAACAAUAUUUAUUUGUUCGACGAUUUGCAAUCUGAUCUAUCACAUAAUUUUAAAACAUAAUCUGCUCAUUUCAAAGAAUUCUUUGCAACUUCUAUCAUUAUUACUUAUGUAGCAAUAAUAUCAUGAUAUGUUUAUCGAAAUGUAAAAAGAGCAAUUGCAAAUACUAAAGAUUUAUCAUAUUUCCAGUCGAGUGGGAGUAAUUGACAAUAACAACAAAUUAACAUUGAAUUAUCGCUCGUACC